UACGUAGGGUGCGAGCGUUGCCCGGAUUUAUUGGGCGUAAAGGGCGCGUAGGCGGCCACGCACGUUCGUUGUGAAAUCGCCCGGCUCAACUGGGCGGGGUCAGCGGAUACGGUGUGGCUCGAGCAAGCUAGGGGGCAAUGGAAUUCCCGGUGUAGUGGUGAAAUGCGUAGAUAUCGGGAGGAACACCAGUGGCGAAGGCGGUUGCCUGGAGCUUUGCUGACGCUGAGGCGCGAAAGCGUGGGGAGCGAUCCGG
rnacentral:rRNA from 1 species